rnacentral:rRNA from 1 species
CCCCUAGAUGUUCUGGGCCGCACGCGCGCUACACUGAACAGUUCAACAAGUCUUAACCUUGGCCGAUAGGUCUGGGUAAUCUUUGAACGCUGUUCGUGAUUGGGAUAGACCUUUGCAAUUAUGGGUCUUCAACGAGGAAUUCCUAGUAAACGCAAGUCAUCAGCUUGCAUUGAUUACGUCCCUGCCCUUUGUACACACCGCCCGUCGCACCUACCGAUUGAAUGGUCCGGUGAAGCCUCGGGAUUGCGAAUGCUUCGUGCGGACGCGAGAACUUGGCUAAACCUUACCAUUUAGAGGAAGGUGAAGUCGUANCA